AUACGGAGGAUCCGAGCGUUAUCCGGAUUUAUUGGGUUUAAAGGGAGCGUAGAUGGAUGUUUAAGUCAGUUGUGAAAGUUUGCGGCUCAACCGUAAAAUUGCAGUUGAUACUGGAUAUCUUGAGUGCAGUUGAGGCAGGCGGAAUUUGUGGUGUAGCGGUGAAAUGCUUAGAUAUCACGAAGAACUCCGAUUGCGAAGGCAGCCUGCUAAGCUGCAACUGACAUUGAGGCUCGAAAGUGUGGGUAUCAAACAGGAUUAGAUACCCUGGUAGUCCACACGGUAAACGAUGAAUACUCGCUGUUUGCGAUAUACAGCAAGCGGCCAAGCGAAAGCGUUAAGUAUUCCACCUGGGGAGUACGCCGGCAACGGUGAAACUCAAAUGAAUUGACGGGG
rnacentral:rRNA from 1 species